AGAGACGAAUCCGCGCGCCCCCAGGCUGCCGCGCGAGCUACCAGGAGGCUUCCACCUGAGCGGCGGGUCCUCAGUGCUUGGGCCUGGCCUCCUCGCUUGUGAGAUGGCACUGUGGCAGUGCCCACCUCGUGGGCUGUGUGAGGGCCGAGUGAAAUCGUGCAUAUGCGGAAAUGCCCACGACCUCCAUCACAGCAGCUAAGUGCACUGGUCUUUCUCCAGGGAUGCCAAAAGUAGACAUACAGGGAGUCGAGGUAUGGAUACCACCAGUGUGCCAGCCUGAGCUCACAAGAGACGUCUUGUGUGACUGGCCCUGCCGUCACAGCUGGGCCAGUAAAGUGCCUUCCAGGAGGAUCUAGCUGCUACCUGACUCACAACCCUCUAAUCCCAAGAUCUUUUAGUUCUGUUAGUUUCAUCGUAGUUUCCUUAUCUUGGUCUGAGCAAAUGACACAUUUUAAAGAUGACUUGCAGACAAAUGUAGAGAUCAUCCCAGGGGAAGUGCCCCAAGAAAGGAGAGUCCAAGACCACCUGCCCCUGGUGGGUUCUGCGGCUGGAGUGGGUGGGUGCAGCAACCACAGCCCCAGUGUACAGGAGUCACUCCUGCCCUCUCCCCCAUUGGCCCAGCUUGGAAAUGCACAGCAACCAAGCAUGAGGACUGAGUUAAGCUUUUCAGAGAAAAAAGACACUAUGAUCAUCUGGCAGAUCACGAUCAGUUUGGUGCCAGAGGUAAGGAGUUUGCUUGUUGUGUUUGCUUGGAGGUGACACUUGGCAAUGACAGCCUGGGAGAAGCACCAGCAGUUAACAGCACUCUGCACCACUCAUGGCUGAGACUGAGGGGAGCCUUUUACAGCAGCUCUGAAAGCAGGAGGUGUUCUCAGACUUGACCCUGAAGUAAACACAUCUCUUUCACCUUUUUCUUGAGUGCCUGCUGGCACAUAACCACUUGCUGAAAUUGUGUCAUUGAUGCUAAAUUAGGAACACAUUAUAUGGAAGGAAGGGAACCACUUCUCAGCACACAUGCCCAGGCAGACUGUGUGGGAUAGAUUUCUGCUUCUCAGAUAAGCCCUGGGCUAGACAUACUUGAGAUGUGGUGGUGAUCUCUGGAGGGAAAGCAGGAAGGCUUCAGGUCUGUGUUUCAGACUGGAAGAGAAGGGCCUCAUCUGCAGUUUAUUAUACCCUGAGGCUCUGGAAGUCCUUUAGGCAAGGUGCUUUUCCAUCAAAAAGCCAGAUGCGAAAGCAGCAGGUGGAGUUACAGCCCUAUCACCCCAGGCAGCAGCCAGAAAAAAUAUGUCAGGUAAACUCACCUACUCCAAAUAAAAGAGCAUGGGCAGAAUGCUUCCUCUUAGCCAGUGGUUUCCAAACUUGAAUGUAAAUCAGAAUCACCCGAGGGCUUAUUAAGCCACAUUGCUGAUGCAUCUCUGACUCAGUGGGUCUGGGCCCACCUUCCUAGCAAGCAACCAGGUGAUGCUGAUAAAAUGCUGGUCAGGGAUGCACAUGUUGAAAACCACAGCUCCAGAUCACAUAGACAUCUGUACCAAAGAAGCGACGAGGGCACAGACAAAUUCCAUUAUAAUAGCCAUCUUUAUUUGUAAAAAUCCAGAUAUAAAAUGUAUUCUUUCAGUCUU